GACGAACGCUGGCGGCGGGCUUAACACAUGCAAGUCGAACGGAAAGGCCCUGCUUUUGUGGGGUGCUCGAGUGGCGAACGGGUGAGUAACACGUGAGUAACCUGCCCUUGACUUUGGGAUAACUUCAGGAAACUGGGGCUAAUACCGGAUAGGAGCUCCUGCUGCAUGGUGGGGGUUGGAAAGUUUCGGCGGUUGGGGAUGGACUCGCGGCUUAUCAGCUUGUUGGUUGGGUAGUGGCUUACCAAGGCUUUGACGGGUAGCCGGCCUGAGAGGGUGACCGGCCACAUUGGGACUGAGAUACGGCCCAGACUCCUACGGGAGGCAGCAGUGGGGAAUAUUGCACAAUGGGCGGAAGCCUGAUGAAGAAACGCCGCGUGCGGGAUGACGGCCUUCGGGUUGUAAACCGCUUUCGCCUGUGACGAAGCGUGAGUGACGGUAAUGGGUAAAGAAGCACCGGCUAACUACGUG
rnacentral:rRNA from 1 species